GACGAACGCUGGCGGCGUGCCUAAUACAUGCAAGUCGAACGCAGUGGGGACGGGGGAGUAACACGUGGGUAACCUCCCAGCAGAGGGGAUAACACUUGGACACAUGUGCUAAACCGAAACCGAUAGAUGGACCCGCGGUGCAUUAGCUAGUUGGUGAGGUAAAGGCUUACCAAGGCCACGAUGCCUAGCCGAACUGAGAGGUUGAUCGGCCACAUGGGGACUGAGACACGGACCAGAAUCCUACGCGCGGCAGCAGUAGGGAUUAUUCGGCAAUGGAAGAAAGUCUGACCGAGCCACGCCGCGUGAGUGAAGAAGGGUUUCGGAUCGUAAAGCUCUGUUGUUAGAGAAGCGGUAUCUAAACAGAAAGCCACGGCUAACUUCGUGCCAGCAGCCGCGGUAAUUC
rnacentral:rRNA from 1 species